UACGGGGGGGGGCAAGCGUUGUUCGGAAUUACUGGGCGUAAAAGGGCUCGCAGGUGGCCAACUAAGUCAUACGUGAAAUCCCUCGGCUUAACCGGGGAACUGCGUCUGAUACUGGAUGGCUUGAGGUUGGGAGAGGGAUGCGGAAUUCCAGGUGUAGCGGUGAAAUGCGUAGAUAUCUGGAGGAACACCGGUGGCGAAGGCGGCAUCCUGGACCAAUUCUGACACUGAGGAGCGAAAGCCAGGGGAGCAAACGGG
rnacentral:rRNA from 1 species